GACGAACGCUGGCGGCGUGCUUAACACAUGCAAGUCGAACGAAGUGGCGAACGGGUGAGUAACGCGUAAUCAACCUGCCCUUCAGAGGGGGACAACAGUUGGAAACGACUGCUAAUACCGCAUACUGAUUGGGGGGUUUGUGUCUGAGUGGCUCGUUGGGGGGGUAACGGCCCGCCAGGGCGAUGAUCAGUAGCCGGUCUGAGAGGAUGAACGGCCACAUUGGGACUGAGAAACGGCCCAGAAUCCUAAGGGAGGCAGCAGUGGGGAAUCUUCCGAAAUGGACGGAAGUCUGACGGAGCAACGCCGGGUGAGUGAUGACGGCCUUCGGGUUGUAAAGCUCUGUUAAUCGGGACGCGGUACCGGAAGAGAAAGCCACGGCUAACUACGUGCCAGCAGCCGCGGUAAUAC
rnacentral:rRNA from 1 species